rnacentral:lncRNA from 1 species
CUGCUGCUUAGCCCUCUUUUAAGGUACCCACCAGCAGCUUUAAACCAAUCCUGAAUGGGGCCCAUCCCAUAAUAGUCUCCCACACAGUGGUCAUUUGGAAACAAUUAACCCUUGAUUCAAGAUCCUCUUAAAGAAUCCUUUUCCAAGCCCUACUCUUUUCCAUUGCAGCCUGUUGUGUUGUUGCCUCUCCCCUUGGAUGGGAACAGCUUUAUCCUUCAGGAGCAACAUCCAUGUCCUCUGGCAAAUGCAGGCUCUGAACAAAACCCAGCCUUGUCAAGCAAACUGCUUCCUAACUGCAAGCAUGGCGACCAUUCCUGCAAACAAAGGGAGAAGAAAAUAUGGCAAACUGAGCUCAGGAGUCCCACAAGAGUGUUACUCUGAGAACAUUAGUGGUGCUGACCAGCUCGUAAAGCUCGCCGUCGUGUUGAGUGCUCCUAGCCUCUGA